UACGGGGGGGGCAAGCGUUGUUCGGAUUCACUGGGUGUAAAGGGUGCGUAGGCGGGAAGGUAAGUCAGAGGUGAAAUCUCACGGCUCAACCGUGAAACUGCCUUUGAUACUGCUUUUCUUGAGUUCGGGAGAGGUUGAUGGAAUUCCAGGUGUAGCGGUGAAAUGCGCAGAUAUCAGGGGGAACACCGGUGGCGAAGGCGGUUCUCUGGGCAUUACCUGACGCUGAGGAGCGAAAGUGUGGGGAGCGAACAGG
rnacentral:rRNA from 1 species